AAACAUGCAAGUCGAGCGAAUGGAUUGAGAGCUUGCUCUCAAGAAGUUAGCGGCGGACGGGUGAGUAACACGUGGGUAACCUGCCCAUAAGACUGGGAUAACUCCGGGAAACCGGGGCUAAUACCGGAUAACAUUUUGAACUGCAUGGUUCGAAAUUGAAAGGCGGCUUCGGCUGUCACUUAUGGAUGGACCCGCGUCGCAUUAGCUAGUUGGUGAGGUAACGGCUCACCAAGGCAACGAUGCGUAGCCGACCUGAGAGGGUGAUCGGCCACACUGGGACUGAGACACGGCCCAGACUCCUACGGGAGGCAGCAGUAGGGAAUCUUCCGCAAUGGACGAAAGUCUGACGGAGCAACGCCGCGUGAGUGAUGAAGGCUUUCGGGUCGUAAAACUCUGUUGUUAGGGAAGAACAAGUGCUAGUUGAAUAAGCUGGCACCUUGACGGUACCUAACCAGAAAGCCACGGCUAACUACGUGCCAGCAGCCGCGGUAAUACGUAGGUGGCAAGCGUUAUCCGGAAUUAUUGGGCGUAAAGCGCGCGCAGGUGGUUUCUUAAGUCUGAUGUGAAAGCCCACGGCUCAACCGUGGAGGGUCAUUGGAAACUGGGAGACUUGAGUGCAGAAGAGGAAAGUGGAAUUCCAUGUGUAGCGGUGAAAUGCGUAGAG
rnacentral:rRNA from 1 species